GUAAGCCGUUUGGAGGAUCUGGAUGGUUUUAACCUUUACUGCAGCAGGGGAGAGUCGGGACUAUUUCUUUACGUGCGCAAAUUAAUACACCCAUUUAGGGUAUUUCAUAACCUGCAGUCAUGCACUGGUGCUAUGAGCAAAUAUUUUAAAAAACGUGUGUAAAAUCUAAGCAGAAAUCGUCAUAAGAUAGUCCGGUGGAAAAUGAUUAAACUCGAAAUCAGAGGAUUGAAAUGGAAACUAAACAUUUUAAGUGACAAUAAAGUCCACAACACAUGUUCUACAGGCUUCUUAAACGGGACAAUGGUCGCAAAUGAAGCUUACGGUCAAAGAUCAAAAAGAUCACUGAUCAACUUGUGCUUGACUUUGCAAAAGGCGCUCCACUGUCAACCGAGUUUUGUGUAAUUGCUGUUUUAACUCCUGUAUUUGGAAGCGGUUUGGUCUCACUUGCCUAGUGGUUUCACCUUGACAAACGCAUUCAUGAAUAAAAAAGCCCACUGGGAUUAGUUUUUAUUUACA